rnacentral:rRNA from 1 species
AUUGAACGCUGGCGGCAGGCCUAACACAUGCAAGUCGAGCGGAUGAAGGGAGCUUGCUCCUGGAUUCAGCGGCGGACGGGUGAGUAUGCCUAGGAAUCUGCCUGGUAGUGGGGGAUAACGUCCGGAAACGGGCGCUAAUACCGCAUACGUCCAGAGGGAGAAAGUGGGGGAUCUUCGGACCUCACGCUAUCAGAUGAGCCUAGGUCGGAUUAGCUAGUUGGUGGGGUAAAGGCCUACCAAGGCGACGAUCCGUAACUGGUCUGAGAGGAUGAUCAGUCACACUGGAACUGAGACACGGUCCAGACUCCUACGGGAGGCAGCAGUGGGGAAUAUUGGACAAUGGGCGAAAGCCUGAUCCAGCCAUGCCGCGUGUGUGAAGAAGGUCUUCGGAUUGUAAAGCACUUUAAGUUGGGAGGAAGGGCAGUAAGUUAAUACCUUGCUGUUUUGACGGUACCAACAGAAUAAGCACCGGCUAACUUCGUG